CGCCUCUUGAGUUCUAUAAGAGGUCCAGCCUGCCCAGUGACUUUGUUCAACGGCCGCGGUAUCCUAACCGUGCGAAGGUAGCGUAAUCACUUGUUCUUUAAAUAAGGACUCGUAUGAAUGGCAUCACGAGGGUUAUACUGUCUCCUUUUUCUAAUCAGUGAAACUAAUCUCCCCGUGAAGAAGCGGGAAUAUUAAUAUAAGACGAGAAGACCCUAUGGAGCUUAAAAUUACCCAACAUUUGCUUAACUAUAAAAAUUUUCAGAAUCUUUAUUUUUACAGGCAAUAUGAUUGUAAAUUUUUGGUUGGGGUGACCGCGGAGGACAACAUAACCUCCAUGUUGAAAAAGCUUCUUCUUAGCUCAGACCCACUAGUCAAAGCAUCAACACACUGACAUUCAUUGAUCCAAUAUAGUUGACCAACGAACCAAGUUACCCUAGGGAUAACAGCGCAAUCUACUUUGAGAGCUCCUAUCGACAAGUAGGUUUACGACCUCGAUGUUGGAUCAGGGUAUCCCAGUGGUGUAGCCGCUACUAAAGGUUCGUUUGUUCAACGAUUAAAACCCUACGUGAUCUGAGU
rnacentral:rRNA from 1 species